rnacentral:rRNA from 1 species
GAUGAACGCUGGCGGCGUGCCUAAUACAUGCAAGUCGAGCGAACAGACGAGGAGCUUGCUCCUCUGACGUUAGCGGCGGACGGGUGAGUAACACGUGGAUAACCUACCUAUAAGACUGGGAUAACUUCGGGAAACCGGAGCUAAUACCGGAUAAUAUAUUGAACCGCAUGGUUCAAUAGUGAAAGACGGUUUUGCUGUCACUUAUAGAUGGAUCCGCGCCGCAUUAGCUAGUUGGUAAGGUAACGGCUUACCAAGGCGACGAUGCGUAGCCGACCUGAGAGGGUGCUCGGCCACACUGGAACUGAGACACGGUCCAGACUCCUACGGGAGGCAGCAGUAGGGAAUCUUCCGCAAUGGGCGAAAGCCUGACGGAGCAACGCCGCGUGAGUGAUGAAGGUCUUCGGAUCGUAAAACUCUGUUAUUAGGGAAGAACAAAUGUGUAAGUAACUAUGCACGUCUUGACGGUACCUAAUCAGAAAGCCACGGCUAACUACG